GACGAACGCUGGCGGCGUGCUUAACACAUGCAAGUCGAACGGUGAAGCUCCAGCUUGCUGGAGUGGAUCAGUGGCGAACGGGUGAGUAACACGUGAGCAACCUGCCCCUGACUCUGGAAUAAGCGCUGGAAACGGCGUCUAAUACUGGAUACGAGAAGGGUCCGCAUGGGCACUUUCUGGAAAGUUUUUCGGUUGGGGAUGGGCUCGCGGCCUAUCAGCUUGUUGGUGAGGUAAUGGCUCACCAAGGCGACGACGGGUAGCCGGCCUGAGAGGGCGACCGGCCACACUGGGACUGAGACACGGCCCAGACUCCUACGGGAGGCAGCAGUGGGGAAUAUUGCACAAUGGGCGAAAGCCUGAUGCAGCGACGCCGCGUGAGGGAUGACGGCCUUCGGGUUGUAAACCUCUUUCAGCAGGGAAGAAGCGAAAGUGACGGUCCUGCAGAAGAAGCACCGGCUAACUACGUG
rnacentral:rRNA from 1 species